CAGCCGCCACGGUAAUACGUAGGUGGCAAGCGUUGUCCGGAAUUAUUGGGCGUAAAGGGCUCGCAGGCGGUUUCUUAAGUCUGAUGUGAAAGCCCCCGGCUCAACCGGGGAGGGUCAUUGGAAACUGGGAAACUUGAGUGCAGAAGAGGAGAGUGGAAUUCCACGUGUAGCGGUGAAAUGCGUAGAGAUGUGGAGGAACACCAGUGGCGGAGGCGACUCUCUGGUCUGUAACUGACGCUGAGGAGCGAAAGCGUGGGGAGCGAACAGGAUUAGAUACCCGUGUAGUCCCUGUCUCUUAUAC
rnacentral:rRNA from 1 species